rnacentral:tRNA from 1 species
AAUUACUUUGACAGAUUAGUGUAUUAAAUUUAGAAUUUAAAAAUAAAUAUAUAAAUUAUAUUUAAGUAAUAU